rnacentral:rRNA from 1 species
CGAAUACCGGAGAAUGUUAUCACGGGAGACACACGGCGGGUGCUAACGUCCGUCGUGAAGAGGGAAACAACCCAGACCGCCAGCUAAGGUCCCAAAGUCAUGGUUAAGUGGGAAACGAUGUGGGAAGGCCCAGACAGCCAGGAUGUUGGCUUAGAAGCAGCCAUCAUUUAAAGAAAGCGUAAUAGCUCACUGGUCGAGUCGGCCUGCGCGGAAGAUGUAACGGGGCUAAACCAUGCACCGAAGCUGCGGCAGCGACGCUUAUGCGUUGUUGGGUAGGGGAGCGUUCUGUAAGCCUGUGAAGGUGUGCUGUGAGGCAUGCUGGAGGUAUCAGAAGUGCGAAUGCUGACAUAAGUAACGAUAAAGCGGGUGAAAAGCCCGCUCGCCGGAAGACCAAGGGUUCCUGUCCAACGUUAAUCGGGGCAGGGUGAGUCGACCCCUAAGGCGAGGCCGAAAGGCGUAGUCGAUGGGAAACAGGUUAAUAUUCCUGUACUUGGUGUUACUGCGAAGGGGGGACGGAGAAGGCUAUGUUGGCCGGGCGACGGUUGUCCCGGUUUAAGCGUGUAGGCUGGUUUUCCAGGCAAAUCCGGAAAAUCAAGGCUGAGGCGUGAUGACGAGGCACUACGGUGCUGAAGCAACAAAUGCCCUGCUUCCAGGAAAAGCCUCUAAGCAUCAGGUAACAUCAAAUCGUACCCCAAACCGACACAGGUGGUCAGGUAGAGAAUACCAAGGCGCUUGAGAGAACUCGGGUGAAGGAACUAGGCAAAAUGGUGCCGUAACUUCGGGAGAAGG